rnacentral:rRNA from 1 species
AGUGAACGCCGGCGGUAGGCCUAACACAUGCAAGUCGAACGGCAGCACAGUAAGAGCUUGCUCUUACGGGUGGCGAGUGGCGGACGGGUGAGGAAUACAUCGGAAUCUACUUUUUCGUGGGGGAUAACGUAGGGAAACUUACGCUAAUACCGCAUACGACCUACGGGUGAAAGCAGGGGAUCUUCGGACCUUGCGCGAUUGAAUGAGCCGAUGUCGGAUUAGCUAGUUGGCGGGGUAAAGGCCCACCAAGGCGACGAUCCGUAGCUGGUCUGAGAGGAUGAUCAGCCACCCUGGAACUGAGACACGGUCCAGACUCCUACGGGAGGCAGCAGUGGGGAAUAUUGGACAAUGGGCGGAAGCCUGAUCCAGCCAUACCGCGUGGGUGAAGAAGGCCUUCGGGUUGUAAAGCCCUUUUGUUGGGAAAGAAAAGCAGCAGGUUAAUACCCCGCUGUUCUGACGGUACCCAAAGAAUAGGCACCGGCUGACUUCGUG